rnacentral:rRNA from 1 species
UAGCGGCGAACGGCUCAGUAACACGUAGUCAAUCUGCCCUCGGGACGGGAACAAUCUCGGGAAACUGAGGCUAAUUCUCGAUAGGUCAAGAUUCCUGGAAUGGGUUUUGGCCCAAAUGGGGUGGCAGCAUCUUGUUACUUUCGCCCGAGGAUGAGACUGCGGCCGAUCAGGCUGUUGGUGGGGUAAAGGCCCACCAAACCAGUAACCGGUAUGGGCUUUGAGAGAAGGAGCCCGGAGAUGGACACUGAGACAAGGGUCCAGGUCCUACGGGGCGCAGCAGGCGCGAAACCUUCGCAAUGCGCGCAAGCGCGACGAGGUUAUUCCGAGUGAUUUCCGCUGAGGAGAUCUUUUCUCAGAUCUAAAAUGUCUGGGGAAUAAGGGGAGGGCAAGUCUGGUGUCAGCCGCCGCGGUAAUACCAGCUCCUCGAGUGGUCAGGGCGUUUAUUGGGCCUAAAGCAUCCGUAGCCGGCUCAGUAGGUCUCCUGUUAAAUCCAACGGCUCAACCGUUGGCCUGCAGGAGAUACCGCUGGGCUAGGAGGCGGGAGAGGCGGACGGUACUCCGAGGGUAGGGGUAAAAUCCUUUGAUCCCCGGAAGACCACCAG